rnacentral:rRNA from 1 species
GACGAACGCUGGCGGCGUGCUUAAUACAUGCAAGUAGAACGCACAGUUUAUACGGUGGCUUGCUGCACCAAACACUUUGAUUAGCGAACGGGAGCGUAACGCGUAGGUAACCUGCCUGGCAGCGGGGGGUGACUAUUGGAGGAGAUACCUAACACCGCAUAAUAGUGAUUGUUGCAUGAUUUUUAGUUUAAGGGUGCACUUGCACCCCUACAACAUGUUCCUGCGUUGGAUUAGUUAGUAGGCGAGGUCACGGAGCACCUAGGCGAGGAUACAUAGCCGACCGGAGAGGGUGAGCGGCCGGCCUGGGACGGAGACACGGCACAGACGCCUACGGGAGGCAGCAGUAGGGAAUCGGCGGCAAUGGGCGAGAGUCUGACCGAGCAACGCGGAGUGAGUGCAGAAGGUUUUCGGAUCGUAAAGCUCGGUUGUAAGAGAAGAACGGGUGUGAGGGAGGAAAGUUCAGAAUGUGACGGUAUCUUACGAGAAAGGGACGGCUAACUACGUG